rfam:Chlorocebus sabaeus isolate 1994-021 chromosome 2, whole genome shotgun sequence.
UCUGGGCGCGGUGGCUCAAGCCUGUAAUCCCAGCACUUUGGGAGGCUAAGGCAGGUGGAUCACUUGAGCCUGGCGGUUCGAGAUCAGCCUGAGCAACAUGGCAAGACCCUGUCUCUAUUUUAUAUGAAAAGAAAACAACANNNNNNNNNNUGUUGUUUUCUUUUCAUAUAAAAUAGAGACAGGGUCUUGCCAUGUUGCUCAGGCUGAUCUCGAACCGCCAGGCUCAAGUGAUCCACCUGCCUUAGC